UUCUGGUGAAAUUUUCUGCUCGUGCCUUAUCGUCAUUCUUUAAAUCUUAUUUAUGAAUAAGUGAUCGUUUAUUUGUACGGAAUAGUUCAUUCGCUCGAUUCCCUUUGGCGCACCUAUCGUUUUAACGAAGUUUUCCAUCGAUCGUAACACGUGCAGCAAGCUACGCUGCCAGAUACAUAUGUAUAUCUGGAAUUCGUAUUUCGCUCGUUGUAUUCAUCUUUUCUCAAACGAACAUACAUAUACAGUGCAUUAAUCUAUUUUUAUAACCAAACGAUAUUAGACGUUGUUUGAGGUGUUCUUGGAAAUGUGUAAUAUCAUGUCUUCGUGGAAACCAGCGUCAACAAAUUUCGAGUUGAAUGUCCUUGCAUUUCGUUUGACCUCUCUUGUUCUUCUUCCACCCAUAUUUAUUGAUCUUCGCUAUAUUUUAGUGAAUUGUUUUAAAAACGACACGAAUUUAUUAUUAUUCAUUUAUAGUAAAUGUAUACAGAAGAGAACUGCUUGGAUUGUUUUCCUUCUUUCUAUUUUCGUUCUAUAAGACAAUAACCAAUACUAUUAUUAUGACAUCUAGAACUUACACAUAUGUAUACAUGUUUACAUGAGUUUAAUGCAUUCCUGAUUGUGUAUAUUUGGUGACUACCAGUUUUGCAAACAUGAUAUACGAUUUGAGACUUCAUGUUGCAUAUUAAAUGAAAUAUAUGCAAUAAAAUUGUAUAUUUAAAAUAUUUAACGUUAUUUAACGUUAGGGAGAAGUUAAAAUAUAAAACUAUUAUUAUAUCCUCACUUUUACUAUGAUUAAUGCUAUUCUUCCAUAAAAAAAUAUCAUCGUCAAGUAAUACAAGGUCAAUGGAGAUAAAGAGGAGUUUAAAUAGAUGUUUAGUAUAAACUUGGAAGGUAAUCUAUAAAUACGAAUUAACAGCUGUCUAGGUCCUCGUUUCUUAUUUGAAUAUUAAAUAUUUGCGUUUUAGUGUUACUCGUUCAUAGACAAAUAUUAAUCGUUCGAAGAAAAAUGAAAUUAUAUAUUAACGUAAUUUAAUUAGAAACAAUAAAAGUUAAAUUCUUAGUU